GAUGAGAACCAUCAAGGGAAUACCAUUAAAACUUCAAGUGAUCCUUUGCACAUUCAUGGAGGCCCAAUUACAAGAGCAAGAGCCAAAAAGAUGCAAGCUGCUUUAAAUGGAUUAAUUGAGAAAAUAUGGAUUGAAAAUGCAAUUCAAGAUGCAAGACAUCAUGAAUUGGGCUUGAAGAGAAGACAAGGCAUUGUGGGCAUUAUUCAAGUCAUUGGGCAGCCAAAUACACAAGUUGUAUCAAAUGCAGAAAGGUCAAAUUCGGAAUAAAAACUGUAUUGAUUGACCCAGAAUUAAAAUGCAAGCUAUAUACCGUUGGAAAGAUAAUUAAGUUAGCUUUCCAAUAAAUUUUACAGAGCUGGAUUUGGAGUUCUCUAGAAGGAGUUAUGACCAAUUCUUUACAGCUUGUUCAGACUUGGGAUUUUCAACGAAUCCUUUGUUUUUCAACUUAUUUGUUUGUUUUGUUUCAAGUUUGUCAAUGAUAGCAUUAAUUAUAGUAGGCUAGCAUUAAGUUUGUCAAAGAUAGCAUUGAUCAUGGUGGGUUGGUGAAGACUUUUGAAACAUCUUUUGACAAACCUACUUGGAGGGUUGUUCCAAUGUUUCCAUUUGGAUUUUUAGGAUCUUGGGUUUCUUUUAGCCUAUUUAAAUUCAGCAACCUUGGUAUAUAAGGAGAUGAAUGUUAUUUUGAAUUUGAAAGAUUAUUCUUUCUUUGGUUCCUUUGAGAACUAGUGAACUUAUCAAGAAUUUACAUUCUUCUGGUGUUCCAAAUUUAGACUUAUCACUCACCUUCUCAUCUCUUUCUUGAGUGUGGCGUCAAUACCCUUCUCUAUACCUUUGGUUCAUGUUUUCUUAAGCAUUGGGUCAAGGUUUUUUGUUUGUUAUAAAUCUGUUUAGAACUUUCUUGGGAAGUUGAAACUACAAAUUAAGUGUAGGAUUGAAAGUUUCAUUGUGGGAUUCGUAUCAUUUGGUAUGUUUGUCAUAAAUCUGUUUUGAACUUUCUUGGGAAGUUGAAACUACAAAUUAAGUGUGGGUUUGAAAGUUUCAUUGUGGGAUUGUCUACCAUCAAAGAUGGUGGGCUAACAUUAAGUUUGUCAAUGAUAGCAUUAAUUAUAGUAGGCUAGCAUUAAGUUUGUCAAAGAUAGCAUUAAUUAUGGUGGGUUGGUGAAGACUUUUGAAACAUCCUUUGACAAACCUACUUGGAGGGUUGUUCCAAUGUUUCCAUUUAUAUUUUUAGGAUCUUGGGUUUCUUUUAGCCUAUUUAAAUUCA
rnacentral:lncRNA from 1 species